UACGGAGGAUCCGAGCGUUAUCCGGAUUUACUGGGUUUAAAGGGUGCGUAGGCGGGCGUCUAAGUCAGCGGUGAAAGUCUGCGGCUCAACCGUAGGAUUGCCGUUGAUACUGGGCGCCUUGGAUUCGGUCGAGGCGGGCGGAAUGCGUGGUGUAGCGGUGAAAUGCUUAGAUAUCACGCAGAACGCCGAUUGCGAAGGCAGCUCGCCGGGCCGAAAUCGACGCUGAGGCACGAAAGCGUGGGGAUCGAACAGGAUUAGAUACCCUGGUAGUCCACGCCGUAAACGAUGAUGGCUGGAUGUUGGCGAUAAACAGUCAGCGUCUGAGCGAAAGCAUUAAGCCAUCCACCUGGGGAGUACGGCCGCAAGGCUGAA
rnacentral:rRNA from 1 species